UAAUCAGGGCAGUUCACUGCUGGCAGGCCAGGCAGUAACAUUGUGUGGCUGAUAGGCUGACUACAACAUCCUGGAGGCCGGGAGCACUGUGUCAUCUGGAUGCCAUCUGCGAGGCUUGGGCUGUGGUGUAGGAGAGGAACAGAGCUGCAGAUAGUGCCCCCUGGCAUCGAGUCCAGGAUGAGAAGGCAGCACAUAUUCAGUGCUGAAGCCUGUCUUGCACAAGUAACUGGGGAUGACAGCGACACAUCCACUGAUGAAAUCUUAUCCCAAGGCAGUGAGGAUGCUGACUUUGUUCCAGACAUGGGAGACUGUUCCGCACAAGAAGACCAUGUGUCUAUGGAAGUUUCAUCCAGCUCAGAUAAGGAGAAGUUGGUGCCACAAGCAGAAGUGAUGCCAAACUUCCAGUGGGAAAGGAAAAAGGACCAGUACAGAGCUGCUGUGGAAGACCUAGGAGAGGUACAGCAGGACAUUGGGCAGAACCACUGCCAUCACCCCAGAAAAUAUUGCAGAUGAUGACACCUUUAGAGGAAGAAAAGGCAGCGUGUGGGGGGAAAAAAUCCAUAGCUAAUACAUCAUUGGAGAACAGCCAAGGAUAUAGUCCAUGAAAGUGCUGGGCCAACAAGAGAAAAUAAUAAAGACACAGUGGUGGAAACGUUCCACCUGUUUCUCUCACAAGAUAUCCUGACUGUUAUCAUAAGAGGAACAAACAGAAAGGCAGAAAGAAGAUUCAGGGAGUGGAAUGAUAGCCAUCCUGAAAAUAGAAAGGAGUGGAAAAAGCUGGCUGAAACAGAGCUGACAGCCUACAUUGCUCUCCUACUGCUGAGUGAUCUAUACCACGGUGGUUGCGAGACACUGGAGGAGUUGUGGGAACAACACACUGGGCAUCCUUGCUUCUGUGCCACCAUGAGCUUAAAAUGAUUCUGUCAAAUCACUAACUACCUGAGAUUUGACAACAAACUGACACAUGAGGAAAGGAGAGCUGUGGACAAGCUUGCUGCCUUCAGCAAUAUGUGGAUACAAUUUGUGGAGCAGCUCAGGGAAUGGUAUAUUCCAGGAAUACACCUGAUGGUUGGUGAGCAGCUCACUGCAUUCAGGGGUCGCUGUCCCUUAAGACAGUAUAUGUCCAGCAAGCCUGCCUAAUAUGGCUUGAAAAUUUGGUGGUGCUGUAAUACAGCAACAUCAUUCUCCCUGUCUGGAGACCUCUAUCUGGGCAAGCAACCAGAAGCUCCAUGCCAAGGUAAUCUUGGUACCCUGGCCGUUGAGAAACCGGGUCAUCUUUGGUAGAAGACGGGGAAGGAAUAUUGUGGGUGACAAUUGCUUCACAAGUACUGACCUGGCAGAAAGACUGCUACAGCAGAAUUUGACCUAGGUGGCUGUGAUUUGGAAAAACAAGGCCGAUUUCCCAAAUGAAAUGCAAGCAAAUCAAAGAAGAGAAACUUUUUCAUCCAUUUUUGCUUUUAAUGGUGAAUUCACCAUAGUUUCCUAUGUUCCAAAAAAAUCCGAAGUUGUGCUGUUGCUGUCAACUGUGCACCAUGACCUGUCAGCAGGUAGAGAGCAAAGAAAGCCAGACAUCAUCCAUGACUACAAUAAAACCAAGGGUGGGGUGGAUAACCUUGACUUUAGUUCAUAUGACCACCUGCAGAUGGAAUAUCAGCACUAUAUCUAUCUAUCUAUAGUGUCACUAUCAAUGACAUUAUAUUUCAAUAUGCUGGAAAUGGCUGCCAUUGCCAGCCUCAUCAUUUGGCUAGGCCACAACGCAAACUAGAAACAAAGAUCAUAUUUAAGAAGGUGGUGCUUUUUUUUGAAGAACAGUUGAUUGACAGACUAAUAAAACGAAGAAUGGUGGAUACACAUAAUCUGUCUAAGUCUGUCAAGUCUGGUAUGACCUCCCUAAAUUACAAAUUGCUCCAACACACCCCAGUAGAACCUUCUGUAAGCAUGAGUGGACGUUGUACUUUUUGUCCAAGGACAGACGACUGCAAAACCUGGAAACUAUGCAAAGAUUGUAAGCAAUUUGCUUGUGUGCACCACAGUACAUCACUGCUGCUUUGUAAGGAAUGCAAUAUUUAGUUAAAACACUUAGGAAAUGUUUUGGGCAGUAAUUGCUAGUUUGAAAACAGUGUGAACUGCAGACUUAGCAAAUUGUUCAUUCACUUUUUGAAACUAAAAAAAGUUUAAAUUUUAUUCAUAGUUCUAGUUAAAUAAUAUUUUGAGUUCAAAUCAUCAUAAAUACUCUUUCAAACAAUCUGUAUGCUUAAUAAAUAGUUUUUGGUACAUUC